CCAUGCUGACUUUGCCCAGCCUGUGUCUGAGGUAUUCCACAUCACAUCUGAAGGAGUCAAAUCCAGCCAGAACCUGGGAAAACAAAGAAUAGUCCUGAUAUAUAUAAGGAAAACAAAUUGAAAAGAUCAACAAAUGAAUCAUCACCUUUGUAGUUUUGACACGUCAAGCUGGAGUUCUGUGAAGGUGUGGCUGUCACUGGCAUGUCUGCAAAGGAAGAACUACAUUGAUUCUGCACAUUGCACGUGGCAUCAUGAACAGUUACCACAGAAAAGAAUUCAAGAAACCAUCUACAUGGACCUCUUCACCUCAUGGAUCAGGCCCCGGUGACUUAGGUUGAAUUCCAAGUCCCAGACAGAAGUGUCCAGUUGAUGAAGCUGAGGUGAUGUGCUCACCUUACAGGGUGGGAAGAAGGGAUACCUGACAUUUCAAGUGUCCAUGACACAAGGUGAGCCCUGCUUUCCACUCAGACUCAUCCAAUGAUGGAUUCCACCUCCUCCCCAAGGAAGGGGUUCAUUUAUUGAGCAAACAAAAACAACAAAUGUCAACCAUAAUGGAGACAAAAAAAUAAAGAGAAAGAAGUCCUAGGUGGUCCUUGUACGUGUUCUACCCCAGUCUUCCCCUGUUGGUGAUAGAAUCUCGUUAUUUCUCUACCUUCACCCCCUAGAAUAAUAGUAUUAAAUAAAGACAUAUUGGAAAACACUU